UCACAGGAUGUCAAAGAGGGAGUGACUCAGCCAGAAGGGGGAUUGCCCCCUUCGCAGAUGGAGAAAGUCUCUUUUUGAGGCUGGGAGGGUAGAAGCCUGAGUUUCACCCUGUCACCCAGGGUGGAGUGCAGUGGUACUAUCUCGGCUCUCGGCAACCUCUGCUCCUGGGUUCAAGCGAUUCUCCUGACCCUGUCAGGGUGAAGGAAGGGGAGACCCUGUUGGCAUCACAAGAGAAUCUGGGUCAAGCCAUGCCUGAAGCUGGUCAAUCCAGGGCCCUCUGCAUUUUAGGAGCCAGUUUUGUGAAAUUUCCCUCUGAGGCUGCUACUCUGAUGGUUGGUGUUUCUGGACUGACUGCAAGAGGCCAUCCUGGUGGGGCUGGACCCCCUUAGCUCUGGCUGAUGAAGCCACUGCUCGGGACACCCAGAAUCUUGGCUCCUCCAGGCAAACAGGUUUCCAGUCCCGCUGCUGACGACCUUCUCAUUGGCAUUGAAAAAGAGCGUUUUCGGCUCCCUGCUCAGACGCUGGCGGCUUCUGGGUGACAAGCGGCUGUCAGAUGCUUUUAACAAGACUUAGGUUUUAGCGGGUCAAUCAAGGUACCGACCGGACCAGGUUUGGGAUAAUUAGGUCCUUCAAAAAGGCCUCCAAGAAGGACAUGGAUAAAACCUUCUCCAACUUUGAGUCCAGUGACUGUGGGCACAGGUGUCGGUGGUAGUUCCUCAGCCACAGGCUCCCCUGCCAGCCCCAGGAAUCUCUAGCAUCUUGGGCCCCAGGAUGUCCCACCCCAGAAACAGGUGAUGUUGCUGCCAGGGAUUCCAUCGCCUGGAGCAGGCAAUGCCAGGGGCUUCGCUACCUCCCCACAUCCCCUGGAGGAGUGGGCGGGCUCCAGGGCUAUUGGAGGAACCCUCCCUGCGCCCGCCUCUGGCUGUUGAGCUAAUAAACAGCUGUUGCCUCUUUGCAUCCUAGAUGGAUCCUGGCACCACAUACACCCAGAGAUUUCUGCUAAUUAAAGUCAGGUUUUGACAUUUGAGGCAUUUUGCUGAGACGGGAGCUCAUGCCCUGCGGGAGAACUGAAGCGUCCGGUUCUUCCUAAGCUCGACCCCAGACAGCUGGGCGUUAUGAGGGCAGACAUCCUAAUGCUUUUGUUUAUUUAUCGGAUGCAUUUGUACUCUUCCCCACAUUUCAGAGAGGGUUGGAAUCAGCCUUAAGAACAAGUUUGUCUUGAUAUGGGGAAAAAAACCCCCACACAGCUUUUGGAGUCAGAAAGGACUGGGUAUGAAUCCUUUGUAUCACUUUGUAGCUGUGUGUCCUUGGACAAGUCACCUCACCCCUCUGAGCCUGUUUCCUCAUCUGCACGAUGGGAGCAUGCAGUGCCUCCAUUGUUGGACUCUAUUGAAGAUACAAUGAGAUCAUGAGAUAAAAUACCAUUGCUGUUUCAUAGAUGUUUCCAAAAUAGGCUUGUUUAAAAUGCUAGCUGGGUGUGGUGGCUCAUGCCUGUAAUCCAGCACUUUGGGAGGCUGAGGUGGGUGGAUCGCUUGGGGUCAGGAGUUCAAGACCAGCCUGGCCAAUACGGUGAAACCCCAUCUCUACUAAAAAUGCAAAAAUUAGCCCGGCGUGGUGGCACUUGCCUGUAAUCCCAGCUACUUGGGAGGCUGGGGCAGGAGAAUCACUUGAACCUGGGAGGUGGAGGUUGCAGUGAGCCGAGAUUGCACCACGGCACUCCAGCCUGGGAGAAAGAGUGAGAUUCUGUCUCAAACAAAUAAAUACAUAAAAAAUAAAGUGGUUCACAGAAUAAGAACAGAAAAGUUAAGUACAGGAAAGAAGAGGCAGGGGAUGCCUACUGUUGCACAGUGCAGGGGCUGCAUCCUUGCCCCAGGCCUGCCCCUUUCCACCUGAUGUUCUUUGGGUACUGCCCAGGUCCUGCCACCUCCUGCCCUUGGACAGAGAUGACCUAUUCAGGUCUGGGCUGAGACACAGAAAUCAAGUGCCAGGGCGACUGAGUCACAGAGCCUGUCACCCGGAGAGAAACUGUUUCUCCUGCACGGGGAUGGAUGGGGUAGAGAGAAUGAAGCCAGAGGCACGGAGUGGAAACCCCAGGAAGCCUCCAGCCCAGCAGCUCUGCUCUGAGCCAUUCUUAGGCUUUCCCAAACUUCUGCAUUAUCCUGAAAAUAAGCCCCUCAACUUUGUGUAAGUCUGAUUCUUGGAAUCAAGAGGUACCGACACAAAGGGAAUACAUCACGCUGAACAGAGCUGCUGGGAAGAUGGUCAAGCCUGGCUCCAAGAACGGGCCGUGGGGGCAGGUUCUUGGUCCUGGAGAGAAGAAAAGAUCGUGGGGGCUUCUCAGGAGAGGCAGAGCUUUUCCCAGCCUGGAUGUAAGACUGUGGCCUCAAGUGGAGCUUCCUGCGGGGGUCCUGGUGAAUGACCUGGAUGCAGUGCCCAACCUUGUCACUGUGGCAAAGGCCAGGGCCACCUUAUGGCCGUGUCUGGACAUGAGAUUCCCCAAAAGCCGAGGGUGGGAUGUAGACUCUUUAAGAUGUGCUAGGAAAGCUGCUGUUUCCAAAGGCCAGAUGGCCACCACCAUGCCAUGGUCACAGUAGGGGAUGGCAAACCCACCGCCCCAGGCAAUGGUGGCGAUAGAGUGAGGGUGCGGGCUGGUUAGGUGCUGGUGGGAUGAAGCUGGCUACUGCCCUCCACUUUCUCUCAUUUCCCCACACAAGACCCAUGGGGGACCCCGAAACUUCCACCAGCAGAGCUGAUGCAGGUACGGCGGUGCCUCUCUGCAGCCCACUGCUAUGGCUGGCAUGUCCCCGCGUCUCCCCUGGAGCCGAUGGAGGGACCACGGGGGCGUCCCUGCUGCUGCCCUUGAUGCUUGCAGCGCAGCGGCCCAAAUGUCCCUGUAAAAUGAGGCUGGUCAGUUCUCUCCUCUGCACAAUACCUGGAGGCAUCUCACUCAGAGUGAGAGCCAAUGGCCAUAAGUGACCCUCCGUGAGCUGCUCACCGCCUCCUCUCCAGGCCCGAUGCCAGCUUCCUUGUUUGUGCCCUUGACCUUGCCAGGCACACAGCCCCCACAUCCCCAAGAGCCUUGACUCUGCCUGAGGAGCUCUCCCUCCAGGUGCCCGCAGGCCUUCCCUUCCCCAGGCCUCCCUGACCACCGUGGGGUAGGACACUCCACCCUGGGUGCUCCCCACCUGCCUUGUCUGUUCUUACCUCCUUCCAGCACUGUAAGAACUGAACCUGUCUACUUCCUUCAUGCUUUACCAUCUUUCUCUCCCUGCAGGAAGAUAAGUUCCCCAGGGACAGGGACUCCUACUUGUUUGUUCACUGAUGUGUCCCAUGAGCCUAGAGAAGUACCUGGAUCAGAGUCCCUUCUCAGCAAAACUGCCAGGGUGGAACGGAUUAGGACCUGUUCCUGCACUAGCUGAAGCCAGGAUGCAUGGCACACCUUUUCAAAAACCUCCUUUGGGUCGGGUGCAGUGGCUCAUGCCUGUAAUCCCAGCACUUUUGGAGGCUGAGGCAGGUGGAUCACCUGAGGUCAGGAGUUCGAGACCAGCCUGGCCAACAUGGUGAAACCCCAUCUCUACUAAAAAUACAAAAAUUA
rnacentral:lncRNA from 1 species